rnacentral:misc_RNA from 1 species
GAUGAAGAACGUAGUGAAAUGCGAUACGUAGUGUGAAUUGCAGAAUUCAGUGAAUCAUCGAAUCUUUGAACGCACAUUGCACCUCUCGGUAUUCCGGGAGGUAUGCCUGUUCGAGCGUCAUUUGUACCCUCAAGCUCUGCUUGGUGUUGGGUGUUUGUUCCGCCUCUGUGUGUGAACUCGCCUCAAAACAAUUGGCAGCCGGCGUACUUGUUUCGGAGCGCAGCACAUUUUGCGAUCCAGAUCAACGUACAGCGGCAUCCAAGAAGCCUUAUUUAACGCUCUUGACCUCGGAUCAGGUAGGGAUACCCGCUGAACUUAAGCAUAUCAAUAAGCGGACGA